GACGAACGCUGGCGGCGUGCUUAACACAUGCAAGUCGAACGGAGUGGCGAACGGAUGAGUAACACGUGGGUGAUCUGACUUGCACUUCGGGAUAAGCUUGGGAAACUGGGUCUAAUACCGGAUAGUGCAAGAUGAGCUCGCGGCCUAGCAGCUUGUUGGUUGGGUAAUGGCCUACCACGGCGUCGACGGGUAGCCGGCCUGAGAGAGUGUACGGCCACAUGGGGACUGAGAUACGACCCAGACUGCGACGGGGGGCAGCAGUGGGGAAUAUUGCACAAUGGGCGGAAGCGUGAUGCAGCGACGCCGGGGGGGGGAUGAAGGCCUUCGGGUUGUAAACGGCUUUCGACAGGGACGCGGUACCUGUAUAAGAAGUACCGGCUAACUACGUGCCAGCAGCCGCGGUAAUAC
rnacentral:rRNA from 1 species